AUGCCCAGUCUGAAGCCAAGACUAGUUUAUGGCCAGUAGCCAUAGUCACAAGUGACAAGCUGCUGAGCCUACUCCAAAUGAAACAACCACAGGCCAUCAGAGCGUUCACUGAGUCCACUGGAUUAGCAAAGCAGGACAACGCCUUCUGUACCACCAUCUAUGCCAUCUAGUUAGGAGGCAGAAUCUCAGGACUAAUUGCUUCAUUUCUUCAUUUGGCCUUGAAAAAACAUUUCAUUAUUUGUUGUUGCCUGCUAUGUGGAAGGGACCAAGAAUAUCCUCUAAAACGGAAUCUGUUUUGUUUGGUGCUAUGGAGACCCUAGGGAGGAAAAAAUUUCUUUGAAAGAGGGGCUGUCAUUUCCAACUUAUCUUUACUACUCACCUCAAUGCUCGAGGAUCUCUCCACUCAUUCAUGAAGCGUAAUAAGGAGGACACGAAAGCUGGAGCUGGGGGAUGUCUGGCUAUUUUAUAUAAGAUGGCUGAGGAAGGCAGCAAAGGUAUUCAAGCCAAGACCUGAGGGACACGAGCAAGCAAGCCACACAGACGUGUGCAAGAAAGGGGAUUGCAGCAAACGUGAAGAGGAAGCUGCAGCGUGGUUUGUAAAUCAUGAAAGAUCAAGGAAGCUGUGAGGACACAAUGAGAAGAUGGCCAUCUGCAAGCCAGGAAGAGAGCCCUCCCUGAGGAACUGAACGGGCCAGCACCUUGGGCUUGGACUUCCAGUCUCCUGAACUGUGAGAAAAUCAACUUCUGUGUUUUACGCACCCAGUCUGGUAUUCUGUCAUGGCCGCCUGAGCAGACUAGCACAGUGGGUCAUGAUAUCAAUUUAGCAGUUCACGAUCAGCGUUUAAAAAAGGAAGAAUAGACUUUAAAGUGUCAGAAUGUGUUGCAUAUCGUAGGGUUAACAUCAUUUCAUGAAGUUUUUUGUUUGCAUGUGUGUCCUGGAUCGUGUUGUAAAAUGUAUUUCUUCUGAGGGUCUUGGUCUAAGGGUUAAAAACUACCUGCUUUAAACACCAAACAAAGGUGACUUUUGGCAACUAAGCUGAUGCACAGUGCUAACGCCUAAAAGCUUCAGCCCAGCAUCCUACAGCCGCGGGCAGGUGUGCACGGGGCUUGUGUGAGACCUGUGUUCAGCCGCCACACCAUGUGCCAGAAAAGCAAAAGCUUUAGAUUGUUCCGGACCUCCAGUCCCCUCUCUGCCUGGCGAUGGGAAAUAGGACUGACUCCUUUGACCUGAGCUAGUUACCCAUCCACACUGGAAUUCUGGACAAUUUGAGGAGGAGAGAGAAGUCUCAAGAGGCUUCUUGCUCAGUGAGGCCAUGACAAAAGUGAUAUAAUAAUAUCUACACCCCCAACUAGUUCUAAAGGUUAUGUUAGUUAAAAAGGUUUUCUUAAAGAUCUUGGAAAGGAGAAACCAGCAUCCUCAAAACUGUGUCAGAGACACAUUGUUUCUCAGUAAAAUUCCUUCCAAAGUGGAGGGGGCCAGGGGGCAGUGAGGAAGUCUACACUUAAGAAACCCAGAAAGCUUAUAGGCAGAAAUAGAUUAAUGACUCAGGGACUCGACCUCAGGGGGGGUUUCUGUGAUACGACAUGUAUGUGACACCUGCUGUUCUUAAUAACCUUCAGUUCUCUGAACUCUGCACUGGGACAAAGAGUAAAUAUGCCCACAAGCUUUUGUACUGGCAAGCCCAAAGACGGAAGCUCUUGUUUCAGCAGAGCCAAAUUCCCCCUUUUCCAACAUGCCUCAGGUAAUAGUGCCAGUACUGGUUGCGACAGCUUAGGUUUUUGUCCCAAAAUAGUUAUUAAGAAGACUGAUAUUAAAUGGAAUAAUUGGGGAAAACGUUGCCUCAGUUAGCUUUUCAGAAACUGUAGAGGGAAAGAGAGCAGAGGCAGCUUUGUUUGUGUAGAUUCAAAUUCCCCUCAUGUUUAAGUAUCGUCUGCCAUAGGUUCCCUAAAGAGAUGCAUAAAUCUUGUGAGACGAGACACUGCAUGAAAAAUCUCUCUUCCAGAUAAUGGUUAUGGUGGUUUUAAAACAUGACUUCAAAUUCUUUGGGACUCCUCCCAUCAAAAGUGGGGUGCUUGUGAAGAUAUUUCCAAGGACGUAGUUCCCUGGAAGGAAGAAGUUCUGCGCUCCAGUGGGACCUCAUCAGAUACCCCUCCAUCUCUCCAUCUCCGGCUCUCCAGGAUAUUCUUCACAGCCUCCUCCUGCUGUUGUCCCUCUGUCUCUCUACAUCUUGGGAUAAUGGAAAGAUGGCUUCAGAUCAGGCCUCCAUUGUGCAACUGGCCCAUCCAGAAACUCAAGAAACUUCCCUGUGCCCAAAGUGGAGAGAACUCUGAGGCUCUGGGGAGGCAGAAACACAAAAUGGAAGGAAACUGAACUACUGGAUGUCAUCUGGAAGGCCCACCCUCUGACCAGGAACACCAGCAUUAGACACUCAUGUGCAAUCAGAGGUUGGCUGGGCUGAAGUCAUCUGAAGGCUUGACUGGGCAGGACAUGGAAGAUGGUUCACUCAGAUGGCUGGCAGUUGGAGCAGGCUGUCUGCUGGGCUCAGCUGGAGCCAAUGACUGGCAAACUGACAUAUGUUCCCCAGCCUGGUCAUCUCAGAGUUGUCAGCUUUCUUACAGGGUGCCUAACUUCCAGCUUCCCCACAAUGUCAAUGCCAACAAAGGAGGCUGAGAAGCAGAGGCAAGGACUGGGAGCAAGGAUCCAGAGCGUGUUAUUGCAUGGAAGACCAGAGAAAGAAGUCAUCAAUGGUGCAAUGGUGCUGAGAUGUUAGGUUCAAGAAGACCAGAGGAGUGACGGGUGGAUUUGGCAACCUAGAGUCAUGGUUGGCCUCGACAAGAGUGGCCUCUAUGGAAUGUGGGGAAGAGGGGAAGAGAGAGAGACAGAGACACAUGAGGGCAGAAUGCCAUGUGACAACAGAGGCAGAGAUUGGAGUGAUGCUGCCACAAGCCAGCAAACCUCUGGGGCUACCAGAAGCUGGAAGAGGUGACUAUGAAGAAGCCAGAAUUAAAAUAGCUUGCAAGGGAGUGACUUUAAUAAUUCACCAAAGUGAACAAUUUAUUGUGGACUGGAGAUUUUGCUGAGAGGUCAACGAGCAGCUGAUGUGGAGUCCUGGAGCACCGGUCUCAGGAGUACCUCAAGGAUGGCCUUUGUGUCUCAGGACCAGGCCAGGCUAUAAAGAAGUUGCU
rnacentral:lncRNA from 1 species